AAUUGGAUCGGCAGCAUCGCUUUUGCUAGCUUGAGAUGAGCGACCAUGGCUGCAUACAUUUGAAUAAUUUCAAAGCAGCCAAAGGCAUCCAACCAUACAAAGUGAUACACUCUUAUUUCGUGACCAGUACAUCGACUGAAGCACGUGUCAGGAAGGCUGUGAGCUGUUUGUGUCACACAUGUAAAACUUACAAGGAUCGUCUACACUCUUGUCUUCAUUGCAUAUUUUUUGGCUGCUAUGUAAAAGGUCAUAUACAAGAGCAUGCGAAAACGAAGAAACAUUUUCUAGCCGUUGAUCUGUGUUAUGGAAAUAUUCUGUGUUUCCAAUGCGGUGACUAUGUAUACGAUAGAGAGCUGUUAACAGUAGCGAAAGCGCAAUGGAGCGAGUCGGCAAAAUCUUUAAGCUUUGGAGAAUUCUAUCGUGCGUGGGAGCCUACGCAAAUAGAGACGGAAUUGCUGAGAAAGCAUCCGCGCCGAAGACGUGUUGUAGAAAAUUCUACUAUAGGUUUAAGAGGACUGAUCAAUCUUGGGAAUACUUGUUUCGUGAACUGUAUCGUACAGGCACUGAUUCACACUCCGCUGUUACGAGACUACUUUCUUGCUGACCGUCAUCACUGCCCGCAACCGAGUCGUUGUCUGGUCUGCGAGGUAUCUCACUUGUUUCAAGAGUUCUAUUCCGGCAACAAGGCUCCACUGACACUUCACAAACUUCUCCAUCUGAUUUGGACUCACGUCAAACAUUUAGCGGGUUAUGAACAACAGGACGCCCACGAAUUCUUUAUUGCUACAUUGGAUGUUCUUCAUAGACACUGCGAAGCCGCUCCGAUACUGAUCAAAGACAACCCUCACAACUGCAAAUGUAUCAUCGAUCAGAUAUUUACUGGGUGCCUUCAAAGCGAUGUUGUUUGUCAGGCUUGCAAUGGAGUUUCUACUACAAUAGAUCCGUUUUGGGACAUAUCUCUGGAUCUAACUUCGGCAGCUAGUGCCUCUAGUUCUGAUGCACCUGGGACAUCCACCUCCUUGCUAGACUGUUUGGAAAAAUUUACCAGAGCCGAACAUUUAGGUUCUGGCGCAAAGAUUAAAUGUAGCAAUUGUGAGACUUACCAAGAAAGCACAAAGCAACUGACGAUGAAGCAAUUGCCAAUUGUGGCGAUCUUUCAUCUAAAACGCUUUGAACAUUUUAUAAUCCAGGAUAAAAUUUUUAAGAAAAAGAUCUCUACAUUUAUCUCGUUCCCAGAACAACUGGACAUGACACCAUUUAUGUCACAUAGGCGCAAUGGCAACAACAAUAGCUCUAUGCUAGACGGUUUAUUAAAAAAUGGAGAGGAUAUGAGUUUCAGUGAUAAUAGGUAUUCUCUGUUUGCCGUAAUAAAUCACGAGGGUUCUUUAGAGACUGGACAUUAUACUGCUUUUAUCAGGCAACAGAAAAAUCAAUGGUUCAAAUGCAAUGAUCAUUUGAUCACGCGAGCCAAGUUGAAGGAUGUCUUGACCAGUGAAGGAUAUCUCUUGUUUUAUCACAAGCAAAUUUUGGAGUACAGUUGAAAUAAUAGUCUGAGAGACAAGAAAGUAUAUGAAUUAAGUCAUGUAAUUAAUUUAUUUAACAAAGGAUUGCAAAAAACCGCUGCUGAAGCUAGACAGUCAGUGACACUUCGCGUUUAUCUGAUAUAAAUUAUUGUCAUCGUCGCUUUUUAGUUUCUGCCGGCGCCUUUUGUGUUCGAUGGAGAAAAUAAAGUUUUGCUGACAUAGAAUUCAGCAUUCCAUAUGAAGUCUGAUAUUUUGUCGUGUGUGUGUAUGUGUGCUAUAGAAUUGUACAGUGAUAUAAUUUAUCUAAUACUUAUAAUCUCUGGUAUGGCUAUCCCUGGCGACUUUGUACAGACGAAACAUGUUUUACAACAAAUAUAGAAGAUAUUGUAUAAUUUGAAACAAACUCUUUCAAUAGAUUUUGUAUAAUAAAAAUCGCUGCUCGACAAA
rnacentral:misc_RNA from 1 species